GACGAACGCUGGCGGCGUGCUUAACACAUGCAAGUCGAGCGGUAAGGCCCUUUCGGGGGUACACGAGCGGCGAACGGGUGAGUAACACGUGGGUGACCUGCCCUCAGCUCUGGGAUAAGCCUGGGAAACUGGGUCUAAUACUGGAUAUGACUCCACGGUGCAUGUCGUGGGGUGGAAAGCCUUGUGCGGCUGAGGAUGGGCCCGCGGCCUAUCAGCUUGUUGGUGGGGUGANGGCCUACCAAGGCGACGACGGGUAGCCGGCCUGAGAGGGCGACCGGCCACACUGGGACUGAGACUACGGCCCAGACUCCUACGGGAGGCAGCAGUGGGGAAUCUUGCGCAAUGGGCGAAAGCCUGACGCAGCGACGCCGCGUGAGGGAUAACGGCCUGU
rnacentral:rRNA from 1 species